rnacentral:rRNA from 1 species
GACGAGGGAUCCUAGCGUUGCUCGGAAUUAUUGGGCGUAAAGCGGGUGUAGGUGGCUUGGUAAGUCGGGUGUGAAAACUCGAGGCUCAACCUCGAGACGUCGAUGGAAACCAUCUGGCUAGAGUCCGGAAGAGGAGAGUGGAAUUCCUGGUGUAGCGGUGAAAUGCGCAGAUAUCAGGAAGAACACCCGUGGCGAAGGCGGCUCUCUGGUACGUGACUGACGCUGAGACGCGAAAGCGUGGGGAGCAAACAGG